AAAAGAGAGCCUUUUGUUUACAG
rnacentral:miRNA from 1 species